UAGGGAAUCUUCGGCAAUGGGGGCAACCCUGACCGAGCAACGCCGCGUGAGUGAAGAAGGUUUUCGGAUCGUAAAGCUCUGUUGUAAGUCAAGAACGGGUGUGAGAGUGGAAAGUUCACACUGUGACGGUAGCUUACCAGAAAGGGACGGCUAACUACGUGCCAGCAGCCGCGGUAAUACGUAGGUCCCAAGCGUUGUCCGGAUUUAUUGGGCGUAAAGCGAGCGCAGGCGGUUUGAUAAGUCUGAAGUUAAAGGCUGUGGCUCAACCAUAGUUCGCUUUGGAAACUGUCAAACUUGAGUGCAGAAGGGGAGAGUGGAAUUCCAUGUGUAGCGGUGAAAUGCGUAGAUAUAUGGAGGAACACCGGUGGCGAAAGCGGCUCUCUGGUCUGUAACUGACGCUGAGGCUCGAAAGCGUGGGGAGCGAACAGGAUUAGAUACCCUGGUAGUCCACGCCGUAAACGAUGAGUGCUAGGUGUUGGAUCCUUUCCGGGAUUCAGUGCCGCAGCUAACGCAUUAAGCACUCCGCCUGGGGAGUACGACCGCAAGGUUGAAAC
rnacentral:rRNA from 1 species